rnacentral:rRNA from 1 species
GACGAACGCUGGCGGCGUGCCUAAUACAUGCAAGUUGAGCGCUGAAGGUUGGUACUUGUACCAACUGGAUGAGCAGCGAACGGGUGAGUAACGCGUGGGGAAUCUGCCUUUGAGCGGGGGACAACAUUUGGAAACGAAUGCUAAUACCGCAUAAAAACUUUAAACACAAGUUUUAAGUUUGAAAGAUGCAAUUGCAUCACUCAAAGAUGAUCCCGCGUUGUAUUAGCUAGUUGGUGAGGUAAAGGCUCACCAAGGCGAUGAUACAUAGCCGACCUGAGAGGGGGAGCGGCCACAGUGGGACUGAGACACGGCCCAAACGCCUACGGGAGGCAGCAGGAGGGGAUCUUCGGCCAGGGACGAAAGGCUGAACGAGCAACGCCGGGGGAGGGAAGAAGGGUUUCGGAUCGGAAAACUCUGUUGGUAGAGAAGAACGUUGGUGAGAGUGGAAAGCUCAUCAAGUGACGGUAACUACCCAGAAAGGGACGGCUAACUACGUG